rnacentral:tRNA from 1 species
UAGAAAGAAGCGAUUACGCAAUCGGUUUCGGCCCGAAGACUGGGAGUGCUUUCUACUCCCCUUUCUAA